UAUAUGUUGAUGUUGUUGUAUAUUCUACCAUGGAAACUAGCGUGAUGUUCAUCAUUUCACUAGGACUCUUUCUUAAUGUGUUUCUAAUUGCAAACAUACUGACACAUCUCCAAGUUUUUGAACCAAGGGAAAUGGUAAUGCAAAUUAGACAUCCUCAUUUUGAGUAAUGGAUGAGGAGAUUUUGAUAGGCAGAACAAUAUAUUUGGGUUGCAAAAAGAUGUGUUUCUAAGAACAUGGUUAUGACAACUUUUGUAGAAGAUAUGGUUAUGACAAUUUUUCUAGAAGAUGUCGUGACACACAUA